rnacentral:rRNA from 1 species
UUGGUGAACCAGCGGAGGGAUCAUUGCUGGAACGCGCCCCAGGCGCACCCAGAAACCCUUUGUGAACUUAUACCUUUUGUUGCCUCGGCGCAUGCUGGCCUCUAGUAGGCCCCUCACCCCGGUGAGGAGCAGGCACGCCGGCGGCCAAGUUAACUCUUGUUUUUACACUGAAACUCUGAGAAAAAACACAAAUGAAUCAAAACUUUCAACAACGGAUCUCUUGGUUCUGGCAUCGAUGAAGAACGCAGCGAAAUGCGAUAAGUAAUGUGAAUUGCAGAAUUCAGUGAAUCAUCGAAUCUUUGAACGCACAUUGCGCCCUCUGGUAUUCCGGAGGGCAUGCCUGUUCGAGCGUCAUUUCAACCCUCAAGCAUUGCUUGGUGUUGGGGCACUGCUUUUAACGAAGCAGGCCCUGAAAUCUAGUGGCGAGCUCGCCAGGACCCCGAGCGCAGUAGUUAAACCCUCGCUCUGGAAGGCCCUGGCGGUGCCCUGCCGUUAAACCCCCAACUUUUGAAAAUUU